UUAAGCGACUAAGCGUACACGGUGGAUGCCCUGGCAGUCAGAGGCGAUGAAGGACGUGCUAAUCUGCGAAAAGCGCCGGCGAGGUGAUAUGAACCUUUGACCCGGCGAUGUCCGAAUGGGGAAACCCAGUGUGUUUCGACACACUAUCAUUAACUGAAUCCAUAGGUUAAUGAGGCGAACCGGGGGAACUGAAACAUCUAAGUACCCCGAGGAAAAGAAAUCAACCGAGAUUCCCCCAGUAGCGGCGAGCGAACGGGGAGCAGCCCAGAGCCUGAAUCAGCUUGUGUGUUAGUGGAAGCGUCUGGAAAGUCGCGCGAUACAGGGUGACAGCCCCGUACACGAAAGCACACAGGCUGUGAGCUCGAUGAGUAGGGCGGGACACGUGGUAUCCUGUCUGAAUAUGGGGGGACCAUCCUCCAAGGCUAAAUACUCCUGACUGACCGAUAGUGAACCAGUACCGUGAGGGAAAGGCGAAAAGAACCCCGGCGAGGGGAGUGAAAAAGAACCUGAAACCGUGUACGUACAAGCAGUGGGAGCACCUUCGUGGUGUGACUGCGUACCUUUUGUAUAAUGGGUCAGCGACUUAUAUUCUGUAGCAAGGUUAACCGAAUAGGGGAGCCGAAGGGAAACCGAGUCUUAACUGGGCGUUAAGUUGCAGGGUAUAGACCCGAAACCCGGUGAUCUAGCCAUGGGCAGGUUGAAGGUUGGGUAACACUAACUGGAGGACCGAACCGACUAAUGUUGAAAAAUUAGCGGAUGACUUGUGGCUGGGGGUGAAAGGCCAAUCAAACCGGGAGAUAGCUGGUUCUCCCCGAAAGCUAUUUAGGUAGCGCCUCGUGAAUUCAUCUCCGGGGGUAGAGCACUGUUUCGGCUAGGGGGCCAUCCCGGCUUACCAACCCGAUGCAAACUACGAAUACCGGAGAAUGUUAUCACGGGAGACACACGGCGGGUGCUAACGUCCGUCGUGAAGAGGGAAACAACCCAGACCGCCAGCUAAGGUCCCAAAGUCAUGGUUAAGUGGGAAACGAUGUGGGAAGGCACAGACAGCCAGGAUGUUGGCUUAGAAGCAGCCAUCAUUUAAAGAAAGCGUAAUAGCUCACUGGUCGAGUCGGCCUGCGCGGAAGAUGUAACGGGGCUAAACCAUGCACCGAAGCUGCGGCAGCGACACUAUGUGUUGUUGGGUAGGGGAGCGUUCUGUAAGCCUGCGAAGGUGUGCUGUGAGGCAUGCUGGAGGUAUCAGAAGUGCGAAUGCUGACAUAAGUAACGAUAAAGCGGGUGAAAAGCCCGCUCGCCGGAAGACCAAGGGUUCCUGUCCAACGUUAAUCGGGGCAGGGUGAGUCGACCCCUAAGGCGAGGCCGAAAGGCGUAGUCGAUGGGAAACAGGUUAAUAUUCCUGUACUUGGUGUUACUGCGAAGGGGGGACGGAGAAGGCUAUGUUAGCCGGGCGACGGUUGUCCCGGUUUAAGCAUGUAGGCUGAUUAUCCAGGCAAAUCCGGAUAAUCAAGGCUGAGGUGUGAUGACGAGUCACUACGGUGAUGAAGUAACAAAUGCCCUGCUUCCAGGAAAAGCCUCUAAGCAUCAGGUAACACGAAAUCGUACCCCAAACCGACACAGGUGGUCAGGUAGAGAAUACCAAGGCGCUUGAGAGAACUCGGGUGAAGGAACUAGGCAAAAUGGUGCCGUAACUUCGGGAGAAGGCACGCUGAUAUGUAGGUGAAGUCCCUGCGGACGGAGCUGAAAUCAGUCGAAGAUACCAGCUGGCUGCAACUGUUUAUUAAAAACACAGCACUGUGCAAACACGAAAGUGGACGUAUACGGUGUGACGCCUGCCCGGUGCCGGAAGGUUAAUUGAUGGGGUUAUCCGUAAGGAGAAGCUCUUGAUCGAAGCCCCGGUAAACGGCGGCCGUAACUAUAACGGUCCUAAGGUAGCGAAAUUCCUUGUCGGGUAAGUUCCGACCUGCACGAAUGG
rnacentral:rRNA from 1 species